rnacentral:rRNA from 1 species
GACGAACGCUGGCGGCGUGCCUAAUACAUGCAAGUAGGACGCAGUUGCGAACGGGUGAGUAACGCGUAGGUACCUGCCUAUUAGAGGGGGAUAACUAUUGGAAACGCUAGCUACUACCGCAUACUAGUAUAUGGACCUGCGUUGUAUUAGCUAGUAGGUAGGGUAAUGGCCUACCUAGGCAACGAUACAUAGCCGACCUGAGAGGGGGAACGGCCACACUGGGACGGAGACACGGCCCAGACUCCUACGGGAGGCAGCAGUAGGGAAUCUUCGGCAAUGGGGGGAAGCCUGACCGAGCAACGCCGCGUGAGUGAGGAAGGUUUUCGGAUGGUAAAGCUCUGUUGUUAAGGAAGCGGUACUUAAACAGAAAGGGACGGCUAACUACGUGCCAGCAGCCGCGGUAAUAC